GGUUCUUUCUUCUCUGUGAAGUCUUGCUGGGCGAGGUGGCACAAGCCUGUAAUGCCAGCACCGGGGAGGCUGAGGCAGGAGGAU
rnacentral:miRNA from 1 species